rnacentral:rRNA from 1 species
GACGAACGCUGGCGGCGUGCCUAAUACAUGCAAGUCGAACGGAGUGGCGCACGGGUGAGUAAUGUAUAGCUAAUCUGCCCUACACUAGAGGACAACCGAUGGAAACGACUGCUAAUUCACUAUAGUGUAGGAUGAGGCUAUAUUGUAUCAGCUAGGUGGUGAGGUAAUGGCUCACCAAGGCUAUGACGCAUAACUGGUUGGAGAGGAUGAUCAGUCAACCUGGAACUGAGACACGUUCCAGACUCCUACGUGAGGCAGCAGUAGGGAAUAUGGCGCAAUGGGGGAAACCCUGAAGCAGCAACGCCGCGUGGAGGAUGACGCUUUUCGGAGCGUAAACUCCUUUUGUUAGAGAAGCGUUAGUAACUGAACGUCCCCUGACGGUAUCUAACCAGAAAGCCACGGCUAACUACGUGCCAGCAGCCGCGGUAAUUC